rnacentral:rRNA from 1 species
GGCGGCACUAGCGCGGUGGUCCCACCUGACCCCAUGCCGAACUCAGAAGUGAAACGCCGUAGCGCCGAUGGUAGUGUGGGGUCUCCCCAUGUGAGAGUAGGGAACUGCCAGGCA